AUUGAACGCUGGCGGCAUGCCUUACACAUGCAAGUCGAACGGCAGCGGGCCUUCGGGUGCCGGCGAGUGGCGAACGGGUGAGUAAUGCAUCGGAACGUGCCAUUGAGUGGGGGGAUAACGUAGCGAAAGUUACGCUAAUACCGCAUAUUCUGUGAGCAGGAAAGCAGGGGAUCGCAAGACCUUGCGCUCUGGGAGCGGCCGAUGUCGGAUUAGCUAGUUGGUGGGGUAAAGCCUACCAAGGCGACGAUCCGUAGCGGGUCUGAGAGGAUGAUCCGCCACACUGGGACUGAGACACGGCCCAGACUCCUACGGGAGGCAGCAGUGGGGAAUUUUGGACAAUGGGCGCAAGCCUGAUCCAGCCAUGCCGCGUGAGUGAAGAAGGCCUCGGGUU
rnacentral:rRNA from 1 species